GUUUGAUCCUGGCUCAGAUUGAACGCUGGCGGCAGGCCUAACACAUGCAAGUCGAGCGGUAGCACAGAGAGCUUGCUCUCGGGUGACGAGCGGCGGACGGGUGAGUAAUGUCUGGGAAACUGCCUGAUGGAGGGGGAUAACUACUGGAAACGGUAGCUAAUACCGCAUAACGUCGCAAGACCAAAGUGGGGGACCUUCGGGCCUCAUGCCAUCAGAUGUGCCCAGAUGGGAUUAGCUAGUAGGUGGGGUAACGGCUCACCUAGGCGACGAUCCCUAGCUGGUCUGAGAGGAUGACCAGCCACACUGGAACUGAGACACGGUCCAGACUCCUACGGGAGGCAGCAGUGGGGAAUAUUGCACAAUGGGCGCAAGCCUGAUGCAGCCAUGCCGCGUGUGUGAAGAAGGCCUUCGGGUUGUAAAGCACUUUCAGCGGGGAGGAAGGCGAUAAGGUUAAUAACCUUGUCGAUUGACGUUACCCGCAGAAGAAGCACCGGCUAACUCCGUGCCAGCAGCCGCGGUAAUACGGAGGGUGCAAGCGUUAAUCGGAAUUACUGGGCGUAAAGCGCACGCAGGCGGUCUGUCAAGUCGGAUGUGAAAUCCCCGGGCUCAACCUGGGAACUGCAUUCGAAACUGGCAGGCUAGAGUCUUGUAGAGGGGGGUAGAAUUCCAGGUGUAGCGGUGAAAUGCGUAGAGAUCUGGAGGAAUACCGGUGGCGAAGGCGGCCCCCUGGACAAAGACUGACGCUCAGGUGCGAAAGCGUGGGGAGCAAACAGGAUUAGAUACCCUGGUAGUCCACGCCGUAAACGAUGUCGAUUUGGAGGUUGUGCCCUUGAGGCGUGGCUUCCGGAGCUAACGCGUUAAAUCGACCGCCUGGGGAGUACGGCCGCAAGGUUAAAACUCAAAUGAAUUGACGGGGGCCCGCACAAGCGGUGGAGCAUGUGGUUUAAUUCGAUGCAACGCGAAGAACCUUACCUGGUCUUGACAUCCACAGAACUUUCCAGAGAUGGAUUGGUGCCUUCGGGAACUGUGAGACAGGUGCUGCAUGGCUGUCGUCAGCUCGUGUUGUGAAAUGUUGGGUUAAGUCCCGCAACGAGCGCAACCCUUAUCCUUUGUUGCCAGCGGUUAGGCCGGGAACUCAAAGGAGACUGCCAGUGAUAAACUGGAGGAAGGUGGGGAUGACGUCAAGUCAUCAUGGCCCUU
rnacentral:rRNA from 1 species